rnacentral:rRNA from 1 species
UACAGAGGUCCCGAGCGUUGUUCGGAUUUAUUGGGCGUAAAGCGCGUGUAGGCGGCUUUGCAAGUCGGGUGUGAAAGCCCUCAGCUCAACUGAGGAAGUGCGCCCGAAACUGCAGAGCUUGAGUACCGGAGAGGGUGGCGGAAUUCCCCAAGUAGAGGUGAAAUUCGUAGAUAUGGGGAGGAACACCGGUGGCGAAGGCGGCCACCUGGACGGUCACUGACGCUGAGACGCGAAAGCGUGGGGAGCAAACAGG